rnacentral:rRNA from 1 species
AGUGAACGCUGGCGGUAGGCCUAACACAUGCAAGUCGAACGGCAGCACAGGAGAGCUUGCUCUCUGGGUGGCGAGUGGCGGACGGGUGAGGAAUACAUCGGAAUCUACUCUGUCGUGGGGGAUAACGUAGGGAAACUUACGCUAAUACCGCAUACGACCUACGGGUGAAAGCAGGGGACCUUCGGGCCUUGCGCGAUUGAAUGAGCCGAUGUCGGAUUAGCUAGUUGGCGGGGUAAAGGCCCACCAAGGCGACGAUCUGUAGCUGGGCUGAGAGGAUGAUCAGCCACACUGGAACUGGGACACGAUCCAGAAUCCUACGGGAGGCAGCAGUGGGGAAUAUUGGACAAUGGGCGCAAGCCUGAUCCAGCCAUACCGCGUGGGUGAAGAAGGCCUUCGGGUUGUAAAGCCCUUUUGUUGGGAAAGAAAUCCAGCUGGCUAAUACCCGGUUGGGAUGACGGUACCCAAAGAAUAAGCACCGGCUAACUUCGUGCCAGCCGCCGCGGUAA